AGCAGCCAGGCAAGCCGAUAGGAGUGACAGAAAAAAAAUACAUGUGUCCACACACGGAGCACGGGCUCUCGCCUCCUCUCCCUCUCGCCCACGAACCCGCCGCCGCCGCCGCCGCCACCCACGUCGGCCGCUUCUCCGGCGACCUCCGGCGCCGUGCAGCACGCCCCCUAGCUCCCCACGGUCCACGCCUCCCUCCCCUCCGGCCAGAGUCUCCGCUCCCGUCCUCUACCGCCCGCUCGCAAGCCCAUCCCCCAUGGCUAGGGUUUCGGGUUUUUAGGGGAGAAACGAGGGGAGGUAUAGCAGGGCGUUGUGCUGCUGGUUGCUCGGGUGAAAGAUGGGGUGCGGACAUUUGCGGGAGUGGGGGGGGAUCGAUGAGGACGAGGACGGUCUGGUGCGCUGCUGGUGCGGAGAGGGCAGGGGAGAGGGAUGGCUGCUGCGCUGCUGUUAGCUGCAUAUAAUACUGCUCCUUUCCUGUUGUUUGUUGAUUGAUGCUGCUGCUACUGCUUCUACUUUGAUGCAGUUGCUGCUAAUCUGAUGUGGAGGACGUGCAGGGACGGACGACGAGCGAGCAGAGGAUUUAUCCGGGACCUAAAUUUGGCAGGUAAAAAUUGGUCUGUUUGCAGCUAGCUGGCUUCAUGUGAUGCUAUAGUGUGCUAUGGAGAGGUACAGAGGUUAUUGUACAGGACCAUGAAGGUUCAUGAUUGGCAAUUGAUCUUGGGCUAUGGAACUGCAAUGUCUACUCGGCAAAUGGGUGAGCUCUCACAUCCCUCUCGGUCUCCUUUGAUUUGUUGCAGAUCUCUUCGAAGUCCAUGACCUCUCUGUAUGUUGAUUGCACCCAUGUACUAUAUACUUCCAAUUUCUUCUGUAUCGUGUAUAUGCCAAUUGUUUUCCUUUACUUUGUGCACAAUGAUUGUGCUCUAGCACUAAUAUAAAUUUCGGAUUCAUAAUUGCAGCCUAUCAUUAAUUUGCCGCAAAACUACAACCAAUGUCAAAAUCCUUAUUUUAGUCAGGACAAUUAACUAUUUAAAAACCCAAAACUAGCUGCAUUCAGUAUUUGACAGGUUAAUUCCAUCAUUCAGUAUUUGGAGUAGAUGCUACAGUUAUGAUGAAACAGUAGGAUUCCUGUAAUUGUGCACAGCAGCAGCGAGUCGCUCUAAAUUUCUACAUGACACCGAACUUCAAACAGAACGCCUCCAUAGUUGAUGAUGUGCUCUUAGAUUAUUAGUUUCUUUGAAUUGCCCUGCGUCCAUUAGAUUAAGGUUAUAUGCAAACGUAUAGAUAGAUGUAUCAAUCCAUUCAGACACAGUUUUCUGUUUCCUAGCCUCCAUGUGUAUGUAAUAUUAUUAUUUUGGAAAAGGAUCAUUUAUUAAGGCAACAAGCCAACACAAAUAAAAAAACCUGGCCGCUACAUGUUACUAACUCUAAACUGAAAAGGUUCUAAGUCAACUGACUUGACCGGAGCUCUAUCUUAAAGAUUUGAUUAUAACAGAGUUUGGCAGGUUUCCCCGCAAAGAAAAAAACAGAGUUUGGCAGGUUAGGUGAGACACGUCAUUAGAUUUGUUAUGAGCAUUGCGAUAUCCUAGGUUAGACAGGUAAGCAAAUUAAUCAAAAUUUUCAUUUAACAUGCAGUAGAAACAAAUAUAUGUCAUUGUCAAUAUCAGUGUGCCGGUGAAGAAACUCAGUCACUGCCAAAGUACUGUCCUCCCAUGCUAAAGCUGAAAAAAACUGCAUGCACAUUUGUUUGUUUCAGCACAAGAAAACAUUCAAACUUAAUAUACCUAUCGCAUCUCAUGGUGUAUGAUUAACUAGCUCUUGGUUGUUUCUAUUUCCAAAAUUUAUUAUUCAUGGUCGGUUAUUGCCGUUUUAAUACAAUCAACCUUUUCAAAUAUAUUUGGAUUAUAUUAGGAAACUGCAGCUAUGUGUUUCUGAGUUAGAGCUCCUAACAGACUGCUUCUGCCUCCUUACUUGCUUCCAUUCUAACUUUAGAUCGUUAUUAAGAUGGACCUCCGAGCCAUAUAGUCCAUAAGGAAGUGUUGAGAUACUUGUAGAUCAUGCAAGUGAAGAGUGGCUUUAAUACUUUUGAGUGGACAUAAAGUAAUUUUAAGAUCAAUAGUUGAUGUUCUCUCUUAAAAAAAGACUGACAAUUGAUGCCAACGACCCGAAUGGUCCAACACACAAUAUUUAUUCUUCUUCGUAAAAUAAUUAUGUUUUCUAAUUAUUAUAUAGGAGGGCACAUCAAAUGUUUUCAUUUGGUGCAUCAGUUCAAAGCAAGCCAGAAACAUUAAGUCUUCUAUUUUUGUAGAUCAGAAUCCUAGAUGUGGUCAGUUUAUAGUAUCAUUUUUCCGGUACCUCUGUUCUGCAUAUAUUUCUCAAACGAAUUCUGCCAUCGAUUAGGAGUGAAAUAGCCAUGACAUUUACAAGCUUUGUCUUCCAUGCUCAGGUCAAUGAUACCUGAAAUUCUUGGGACUUCUUUCGAACCGAAACAUUAGAAGAUAAGCUUGUGGUGACUUUAUGAGGUUUUGGCAUUGGACCGUUUGAAACUUUAGAUUGGCAGAGAGAGACCCUGGUGCUCUGAAGGAUGUUGAAUUUGAGAUCAAAAAAUAUUGUUGUUAAAUAAUCUUUGCUUCUUUCAAUUGGAAAAGUUAGCGCUGUUGGGAGUUUGAUGUUGCAGUGGGCCUUGGCAGUGGCGAGGUAGGUGCCGGCGAGGUAGGCGACAUCGUCGACGAGGGCCAUCAUGGCCUCCACCUGCGCCCUCUUGCAGGUGGACUGCUGGUCAUCGAUGCGGCGGGUCGGGCUCUUGCAGCAACAUCUACGAUAUUCUCUGGACGAGCUGCAGGUAGGCCAGGCUGUAGAUGAGGAUUCGACGACCACCACCGAGGUAUGGCCUCCUCUCCUUGCCCUUGGGCUGGCAUCUCUGAUCAGGUUGUAAUCUGCUGCUGUAGUGUUGCUCUUCUUUGAUUUGGGGAUUCCUAUGGGAUCUAUUUUUGAUUGGUCAAAGCUGGUUUGUUGGCCACCGGUUGGUUUAACAUGAUGCUGUAAUGCACUACGGAGAGAUAUGUUAUUCCAGUACAAGUGGCCGGCCAGUUAAUUUGAGGAUUUUUGCCUUUUGUUCUUCAGGCCUAUAGCUUGUGGUUUCAGUCCGACAGUUAAAAGUUGCAUUGGCUUGUAAAAAUUCACGUGACUGGACCACUAGGUGAGGAUGAUCUCAUAUGGAAAAUACUGCUCCAUGGUAUUAAAAUCUGUUAUAGGUGUUGGAAGUCAAUGCUAGGAGCUCCUGGGAUGUGCUCAUGCAUGCUUGGUCGGAACCUUUUCUUUCGAAUCAAUUGAUGAACCGAUGGCAUCAGAUAUGCCGUAUGUGUACUCCACUACGUACGACAGGGUGAAAACAAGUUUGAUCGAUGGAGAUGGAUUUCUAUCCUGUUGGUGCAAUUGUAUGUUCAGGGAUACAAACAACAGUGUAACGACUCUAGAAAUCUACAUCUUAAUACUGCCCUAUUUUGGGGAUUCGAAUCUUCAUGGUUAUGAUAAUGGUUCAAAACUCCAUUUGACCUUGGAAGGGUUAUGUUCUUCAUAUGUUUUUGUAGCCCUUGCAUGAACUAUUUUAAGACAUGUUAUUUACAUUAAGGUCACCAAUGUGCACCUUUCAGUCAAAACACAGUGCAAGGCUCCUUUCUUAUGUUGAUAACAUACUUGGCAAACAUUUCAGAAAUGACAUUUUAUAGUUCUGGUUUGACCUACUUGACACAAAUUAAAUUUUGUUUGUACAUUUCCUUUAGUUGUCCACUUUUAGAAAUUUUAAUGUCAGUUUUUUGUCAAUUUUUCACACUGUGAAUCCAACAAACACCUUCAGAUAAAAUAAAUAAGAGGUAUUAUAUGUCUGUUUACUAAAGCCUUGAGAGGCAAUGGCAGACUGGCACUAAAUAGCCUUAUUUACAUUCAGUACAUCGCUGAAUACAUGCACAAGUAAACCAAAGUCGCAAUCAUGCGAAGGUAUAAACGAGACCAACACAUUCCAAUAGAGCUACAAACCUGGUGUGCAAUCAUUGCAUCAUGAGGAUCAGAAGAAGAUCGUCUAGACUAAACCUAGUGUCUUGUGAGAUUGCAGAAACCUCUUGCGAGGCUUUGCAUACAGACAUUGUUGUGAGUUUUACGAGUUUGUAUUCCGUUUCUAC